rnacentral:misc_RNA from 1 species
AACGCACAUUGCGCCCUAUGGUAUUCCGUAGGGCAUGCCUGUCUGAGCGUCAGCUCCCCCCCACUCAAGUAUCCUUUUGUGACACUUGGAUUGCUUUGGAGAGGUGCCUCUUGAUAAGAGUCGCCCUCCAGAAAUUUAUAGGCAGUAUGGUUUGCACCUGAACCAGACGUAAUAAUAAUAAAAUCGUUUGUUUGGGUAUAAUUGUGCUUGCCUUAACCCACCCAUUUUUACCUUGGGUGACCUCAGAUCAGGUAGGGAUACCCGCUGAACUUAA